GCUCUCCACCAAACCCUAACUCGUACAAAUUUCACAAAUUGAAGGCUCAAAUCAGUUCCAAAUUUAAAUCCAAGCACAAAUUAGUGAUCACCUCAGUAAAGUGAUCACAAGGCAAAGGAACCGAGUCUUCAAGCGGACAAGCCGGAGCGGACACGCGCUUGAAGGGAACGCUCUAAAGGUAAUGCUCGUUUCAUUUCGGAUGUCGAUCAAGAAAGGGAAUCAAAAACCGAACACAAGUUUUGAAGCUUCCGCACUAAUCUAAUUAUGUUAAACAAUGGUGUUUUGUAAACACUACUAAAUGUUGAAUGUUUUAACCUAGCUAGUUGACUAUGU